rnacentral:rRNA from 1 species
UACGGGGGGGGCAAGCGUUGGUCGGAAUUACUGGGCGUAAAGGGUUCGUAGGUGGCCAACUAAGUCAGACGUGAAAUCCCUCAGCUUAACUGGGGAACUGCGUCUGAGACUGGAUGGCUUGAGUGCAGGAGAGGAACGCGGAAUUCCAGGUGUAGCGGUGAAAUGCGUAGAUAUCUGGAGGAACACCGGUGGCGAAGGCGGCGUUCUGGACUGCUACUGACACUGAGGAACGAAAGCCAGGGGAGCAAACGGG